GAUGAACGCUGGCGGCGUGCUUAACACAUGCAAGUCGAACGGACCCUUGGAAGUGAAGCUUCGGUGGAUCUUUCAAACGGUUAGUGGCAAACGGGUGAGUAAUACAUAGAUAACUUGCCCUUGAGUCUGGAAUAACUCCCUGAAAAGGGGGCUAAUACCGGAUACUUUCAGAUGGACAUAAGUUCAACUGAAGAAAGGGUUACCGCUCAAGGAGAGGUCUAUGUCUGAUUAGCUUGUUGGUAGGGUAAUGGCCUACCAAGGCGACAAUCAGUAGCUGGUCUGAGAGGAUGGUCAGCCACACUGGGACUGAGACACGGCCCAG
rnacentral:rRNA from 1 species